GUCCUGACUUGCUAAUUCUAUACGCACCUUCCCCCCCAACCCCCCACCAACCCCAGAGGAAAAUCACUAUCAAUACCUUCAACACCCGUCUCCAGGCUGCGGUAGGAGGCACCCCUCCCUCCAGAUGCGGCUCACAGGCAUCGGAGCUAAAGAAGGAGGAGGAGGUGAAUGUGGUCCUGGAGGCGCGCCGGAGGCGGGGCCGUCGCCGAGCAGGUCUUCGUUGCAGGACGCAGACUCUCAUUAGUUGCCCCUCAGCAUGUGGGAUCUUAUUUCCCCAACCAGGGAUCGAACCCAGAAUUCCUUGUACUAGAAGGCAAAUUCUUAACCACUGG
ensembl:lncRNA